CGCGUGAGGAACCUGCCUCAAAGAGGGGGACAACAGUUGGAAACGACUGCUAAUACCGCAUAAGCCCACGGGUCGGCAUCGAUCUGAGGGAAAAGGAGCAAUCCGCUUUGAGAUGGCCUCGCGUCCGAUUAGCUAGUUGGUGAGGUAACGGCCCACCAAGGCGACGAUCGGUAGCCGGACUGAGAGGUUGAACGGCCACAUUGGGACUGAGACACGGCCCAGACUCCUACGGGAGGCAGCAGUGGGGAAUAUUGCACAAUGGGGGAAACCCUGAUGCAGCGACGCCGCGUGGAGGAAGAAGGUCUUCGGAUUGUAAACUCCUGUUGUUGAGGAAGAUAAUGACGGUACUCAACAAGGAAGUGACGGCUAACUACGUGCCAGCAGCCGCGGUAAAACGUAGGUCACAAGCGUUGUCCGGAAUUACUGGGUGUAAAGGGAGCGCAGGCGGGAAGACAAGUUGGAAGUGAAAUCUAUGGGCUCAACCC
rnacentral:rRNA from 1 species